GAUGAACGCCAGCGGCAGGCCUAAUACAUGCAAGACGAACGGUAAGCUUUGUAGCAAUACGGAGCCUAGAGUGUCGCAAGGGUGCGUAACACGUAUGCAAUCUACCCUGUACAGGAGUAUAGCUCCCCGAAAGGGGAAUUAACCCUCCAUAACAUGAUGAGUCGGCAUCGACUUAUUAUUAAAACUGAGGUGGUACAGGAUGAGCAUGCGUCUGAUUAGCUAGUUGGUAGUGUAAUGGACUACCAAGGCAAUGAUCAGCAGGGGAACUGAGAGGUUGAUCCCCCACACUGGCACUGAGAUACGGGCCAGACUCCUACGGGAGGCAGCAGUAGGAUAUUGGACAAGUGGGUGGAGAGCCUGAUCCACGCCAUGCCGCGUGCAGGAAG
rnacentral:rRNA from 1 species